rnacentral:rRNA from 1 species
CGAACGCUGGCGGCAUGCCUAACACAUGCAAGUCGAACGAGAAAGCUCUUCGGAGUGAGUAGAGUGGCGCACGGGUGAGUAACACGUAGGUGACCUACCAUACAGUGGGGGAUAACCAGGAGAAAUUCUGGCUAAUACCGCAUACGAAGCACAAAUUUGAAAGUAGUGCUUGAAAGGAUGCUUCGGCAUUCGCUGAAUGAUGGGCCUGCGUAGCAUUAGUUUGAUGGUGGGGUAACGGCCUACCAUGACUACGAUGCUUAGCUGGUCUGAGAGGAUGAUCAGCCACACUGGAACUGAGACACGGUCCAGACUCCUACGGGAGGCAGCAGUGGGGAAUAUUGCGCAAUGGGGGAAACCCUGACGCAGCAAUGCCGCGUGAGUGAGGAAGGGUUUCGGCUCGUAAAGCUCUGUCAGAUGGGAAUAAUGGUCAAGGGUCUAAUAGGCCUUUGAUUUGAAGGUACCUUCAAAGGAAGCACCGGCUAACUUC